UACAGAGGGGGCAAGCGUUGUUCGGAAUUACUGGGCGUAAAGGGCGCGUAGGCGGCCUGCUAAGUCGAACGUGAAAUCCCCGAGCUCAACUCGGGAACUGCGUCCGAUACUGACAGGCUUGAAUCCGGGAGAGGGAUGCGGAAUUCCAGGUGUAGCGGUGAAAUACGUAGAGAUUGGGAAGAACACCAGUGGCGAAGGCGGCUAUCUGGACGGUUACUGACGCUAAGACUCGAAAGCGUGGGGAGCAAACAGG
rnacentral:rRNA from 1 species